AUUGAACGCUGGCGGCAGGCCUACCACAUGCAAGUCGAACGAGUGGCGGACGGGUGAGUAAUGUCUGGGAAAUUGCCUGAUGGAGGGGGAUAACUACUGGAAACGGUAGCUAAUACCGCAUACCAUCGGAUGUGCCCAGAUGGGAUUAGCUAGUAGGUGGGGUAAAGGCUCACCUAGGGGACGACCCCUACUUGGUCUUAGAGGAUGACCAGCCAAACUGGAACUGAGACACGGUCCCGACUCCUACGGGAGGCAGCAGUGGGGAAUAUUGCACAAGGGGCGCAAGCCUGAUGCAGCCAUGCCGCGUGUAUGAAGAAGGCCUUCGGGUUGUAAAGUACUUUCAGCGGGGAGGCGUUACCCGCAGAAGAAGCACCGGCUAACUCCGUGCCAGCAGCCGCGGUAAUUC
rnacentral:rRNA from 1 species